GCGGUAAUUCCAGCUCCAGUAGCGUAUAUUAAAGUUGUUGCAGUUAAAAAGCUCGUAGUCGAACCUCGGGCGCGGGACACGAGUUCGGCACUGCCGGCGCUUGUGUCUUACGCCUUUUUCCUGGCGACCUGGCCGCUCUUCACUGAGUGUGCUUGUGAAGGCAGGACGUUUACUGUGAAAAAAUUAGAGUGUUCAAAGCAGGCCUUUCCGCCAUGAAUACACUAGCAUGGAAUAAUAGAAUAGGACUUGGGUUCUAUUUUGUUGGUUCUAGGACCGAAGUAAUGAUUAAUAGGGACAGUUGGGGGCAUUCGUAUUUCAUUGUCAGAGGUGAAAUUCUUGGAUU
rnacentral:rRNA from 1 species